UGGGGGAUUUUGCACAAUGGGCGCAAGCCUGAUGCAGCGACGCCGCGGGAGGGAUGAAGGCCUUCGGGUUGUAAACCCUUUUCGCUGGGUUGAAAAGCCAUGCUUUGGGUGUGGUUGAUUUGAACUGGUAAAGCAGUACCGGCUAACUACGUGCCAGCAGCCGCGGUAAUACGUAGGGUACUAGUGUGGUCCGGAUUUAUUGGGCGUGAAGGGCUUGUUGGUGGUUUGUCGCGUCUGUCUUGAAAUCCAGUGGCUUACUCAUGGGCUUGCGGUGGGAACGGACAAGCUUAAGUGCGGUGGGGGGGACUGGAAUUCCUGGUGGAGCGGGGGAAUUCGCAGAAAUCAGGAGGAAAACCGGUGGCGAAGGCGGGUCUCUGGGCCGGUACUGAAACCGAGGAGCAAAAGCGUGGGGGGCGAAGCGG
rnacentral:rRNA from 1 species